GCCCGAAUAGUUCAGUCGGUAGAGCAUGAGACUCUUAUUCUCGGAGUCGUGGGUUCAUGCCCCACGUUGGGUA